UAAGGCGUGCGUCGGGGCCGGCAAAGGGGCCGCAGGGGGCGCCGGAGGGGGCGGCCGCGAGCUAAGCUAGGGGCGGGCGUCAAAAGGAGGCCGCAGUGGGACAGCGCUCGGCGGACCCACCACUUGAUUCUCGCACUCGGCCCCCAAAACAUCAGCAAUGGCGGACAAGGAAAAGAAGAAGAAGAAGAAGUCCACCAAGGAGGAGGCGGCACCCGCCCCCGAACCAGAACCAGCACCAGCACCAGCGCCCGCUCCCGCCGCCGAGCCCGCUCGCCAGACCAGCCGUGGCUCGAAAAAGGCCGCCAAGCGCUCCGGCUCCAAUGUCUUCUCCAUGUUCAGCCAGAAGCAGGUGGCCGAGUUCAAGGAGGGCUUCCAGAUGAUGGACGUCGACAAGGACGGCAUCCUGAGCAAGAACGAUCUGCGCGCCACCUUCGACUCUCUGGGUCGUCUCGUGGCUGAGAAGGAACUCGACGCCAUGGUCAAUGAGGCCUCCGGCCCCAUCAACUUCACCCAGCUGCUGACCCUCUUCGCCAACCGCAUGUCCGGUGGCUCCGAUGAGGACGACGUCGUCAUCAACGCCUUCAAGACAUUCGACGACAACGGCAAGAUCGACAGCGAGAAGUUCAGAUUCGCUCUGAUGACCUGGGGCGACAAGUUCUCCGCCCAGGAGGUUGACGAUGCCUUCGACAACUUCGAGAUUGACGAUGCCGGUUUCAUUGACACCGGCAAGCUGAUCGCCAUCCUGACCUCUUCUGCUGAGGAGGGCGAGGAGGCGGCCGAGUAAACUUCCAUCACUCAACAUCCAACAAACAACUUCCAGCCGCAAAACAAUUAUAAUAUACAAAACAUAACAUCUCAACAACAACAUGAACAACAAACGUAACACCAUCUUGUAUCGUCCAACAUCCAAGAACUCGGGGCAGGCGAGACUACUUUCUUAAUUUAAAAACGACGGUCUGAGCCAGUUGAGGUGCGGCCGCCGCAAAAACUCGAGCGAGCCCCGAGAUGCACCGCGUUUAAUUUCUUUUCUUCUCCCCUUCUGCGUGCGUUUCCCACUGAGCCGCCUGUAAUCAAAGUGGCUGGUGCGUCGGGUGGAAACAAAACGAGUAGAAAAAAAGCAAUAUCUCUAUGAAUCCACCCGCUCUCCUGUGCAACCAACAAUCCGACGUCGCUUUCCAGCUGCGGGGCCGAUUGUUCUUUUAGCGCGCCAAUCGUUUUAUUGAUUGAGCACGGCUGUUUUUAUUCUUAAAAUCAACUGUGUGCUUUGAUUAAAGUUUAAAAAUAUAUUUUUAACCGCCCUUUGUUGGCAGCUAUUGCGUGCAGAUUUGACUAAUAAAGGCAGACGCGAUUAUGUUCAUUAAUGAGA